GCCAGGCAGUGUCAAGAUGGUAAAUACAGUCUGUACUUCACAAAGCUCUCUGACAUUUGAAAGAAAAUUUAAAAACCUCAGCAUUGGGGAGGCAGAAAACAUAGCAAGUCCAUAGCCAGCCAUAGUUACAGGGUGAGCCCCUGUCUAAAAUGAUAAUUUACAAAAUGUAGAAAGAAAUAUGGUUACAAUUUCCUCUCAACCCAUGUAGCCUGCCUUCCAAGUAUGUAACAACUGGACAGACAUCUUGUACGCACACUAGCCACUAUCUCCCUGGAAGAAGUCUUCGGAAGCAGAAGACCGGGAACACAGAGCAAGUCUUUCAAAGAGACUCAGGUCCUUCCAGAACACAUCUGACAAUUCAUCCUGAAGCUACAUACAAAGGAGCUUGAUUGUCACGUGAAAUAAAGGACUGACCGAGGUCCUGUGUAUUCAUUAAAACUGGCAGAUCAUGUUCUGUUGCAAUACCUGGAAGUGGGAUCAGAAGGCUAAGAAGUAGCCUGGCCCCUGGGAAUCGCUUCUGGAGACACUAACAACAGGGCAAGUCACUGAACAGAAACAUUAGAUACGCUGCACCACGGUAAAAAGAUACUCGGGAUGAUUUUAGCUCUAAGUCUGUGUGGCAGAAAGCAAAAGAAUGUUUUCAUAUAGCUCUGACUGAAAUCCCACGCUGGCAACCUCCCUCUGGGACCUUUGGGUUUAAUUACAGGAUGAAAGGAGCUAUUC
rnacentral:lncRNA from 1 species